rnacentral:rRNA from 1 species
UAUGUGAUCGUCUCUCGCAUAUCAAUAAGCGGAGGAAAAGAAACUAACAAGGAUUCCCCUAGUAACGGCGAGUGAGGCGGGAAGAGCUCAAAUUUGAAAUCUUAAAGGGUUUCCCUUUACGAAUUGUAGUUUAAAGAAGUGUUUUCUGUUGAGGUUUUGGUAAAAGUUCUUUGGAAUAGGACAUCAUAGAGGGUGAGAAUCCCGUAUUUGACCUUUACUUUCAACUUUGUGAUACACUUUCAAAGAGUCGGAUUGUUUGGGAAUGCAGUCCAAAAUGGGUGGUAAAUUUCAUCUAAAGCUAAAUAUUGGCGAGAGACUGAUAGCGAACAAGUACCGUGAGGGAAAGAUGAAAAGAACUUUGAAAAGAGAGUUAAACAGUACGUGAAAUUGUCAAAAGGGAAGCGUUUGACACCAGUGUUGUUUUUCUGAAAAUCAAUUAAAGAACUGUUUAUGCUAAGUUGUUUAGACUUUAUCAGCUAACUGUUUAGUUUUGAGCUUUUCUUUAAUGCACUUUUCAGUUAACAAGUCAACAUCAAUUUCUUUUGCUGUAAAAAAACUUGAGGAAGGUGGCUUGAGAUUCGUCUUAAGUGUUUAUAGCCUCUUGCCUAUGCAGUCGGAGAGAUUGAGGUCUGCAGCGUAGAUCCUUCGGGGCUAAAUGCAUUUGUGCUAAGUUAUAGCAUUUUAUAGACAACUUGUUGACUAUGAUUUGUCUUGUAGCUUACUCGCUUAUGUUAUUUUACCUACGCUUAGGAUGUUGAAGACUCUACAGAGAUA